UACGAAGGGGGCUAGCGUUGCUCGGAAUUACUGGGCGUAAAACGCUCGUAGGUGGCUACGUCAAGUCGGACGUGAAAUCUCCCGGCUUAACUGGGAGAGGUCGCUCGAUACUGGCGAGCUCGAGGCAGGUAGGGGGAAGCGGAAUUCCCGGUGUAGUGGUGGAAUGCGUAGAUAUCGGGAGGAACACCAGUGGCGAAGGCGGCUUCCUGGACCUGAUCUGACACUGAGGAGCGAAAGCGUGGGGAGCGAUCCGG
rnacentral:rRNA from 1 species